UUAAGCAUAUCAAUAAGCGGAGGAAAAGAAACCAACAGGGAUUGCCUCAGUAACGGCGAGUGAAGCGGCAAGAGCUCAAAUUUGAAAGCUGGCCCCCCCGGGGCCCGCGUUGUAAUUUGCAGAGGAUGCUUCGGGAGCGGCCCCCAUCUAAGUGCCCUGGAACGGGCCGUCAUAGAGGGUGAGAAUCCCGUCUGGGAUGGGGUGCCCGCGCCCGUGUGAAGCUCCUUCGACGAGUCGAGUUGUUUGGGAAUGCAGCUCUAAAUGGGUGGUAAAUUUCAUCUAAAGCUAAAUAUUGGCCGGAGACCGAUAGCGCACAAGUAGAGUGAUCGAAAGAUGAAAAGCACUUUGAAAAGAGAGUUAAACAGCACGUGAAAUUGUUGAAAGGGAAGCGCUUGCGACCAGACUCGCCCGCGGGGUUCAGCCGGCACUCGUGCCGGUGUACUUCCCCGCGGGCGGGCCAGCGUCGGUUUGGGCGGCCGGUCAAAGGCCCUCGGAAUGUAACGCCCCCCGGGGCGUCUUAUAGCCGAGGGUGCCAUGCGGCCAGCCCGGACCGAGGAACGCGCUUCGGCUCGGACGCUGGCAUAAUGGUCGUAAGCGACCCGUCUUGAAACACGGACCAAGGAGUCUAACAUCUACGCGAGUGUUCGGGUGUCAAACCCGUACGCGCAGUGAAAGCGAACGGAGGUGGGAACCCCCCCGGGGUGCACCAUCGACCGAUCCUGAAGUCUUCGGAUGGAUUUGAGUAGGAGCGUAGCUGUUGGGACCCGAAAGAUGGUGAACUAUGCCUGAAUAGGGCGAAGCCAGAGGAAACUCUGGUGGAGGCUCGCAGCGGUUCUGACGUGCAAAUCGAUCGUCAAAUUUGGGUAUAGGGGCGAAA
rnacentral:rRNA from 1 species